UACGUAGGUGGCAAGCGAUACUCGGAAUCACUAGGCGUAAAGCGCAGGUAGGAGGUUUAGUAAGUCUGUUGUGAAAGCUCCCGGCUUAACUGGGAGAGGUCAACGGAAACUGCUAGGCUAGAGUGCGGUAGAGGUAGCUGGAAUUCCCGGUGUAGCGGUGAAAUGCGUUGAGAUCGGAAGGAACGCCCGGUGGCGCAAAGCGGAAGGUC
rnacentral:rRNA from 1 species